GUUGUAUAGUUAAGUGACUAAGCGUACAAGGUGGAUGCCUUGGCAAUCAGAGGCGACGAAGGACGUGCUAAUCUGCGAAAAGCUUGGAUGAGUCGAUAAGAGGCGUUUAAUCCAAGAUGUCCGAAUGGGGAAACCCAGUAGAUGAAGAAUCUACUAUCACUUACUGAAUCCAUAGGUAAGUGAGGCAAACCGGGAGAACUGAAACAUCUAAGUACCCCGAGGAAAAGAAAUCAACCGAGAUUUCGUUAGUAGCGGCGAGCGAACGCGAAGGAGCCUGUUAGUGAU
rnacentral:rRNA from 1 species